CGGCACGCUAUUCAACCAAGAACGGCUCGAAUACACACGGGCCUACACGCGCGCACAGAGAGGCGUUUGUGGUGCCUUCACAGCGCCCCUCUCACGUGCGGCUGCAUCUUUUCUUUGGCCGCUGUGCGCCCACGACAGAGACGCGCGCGCUCACAGACGGGGAGGCCGCUCGAAGGUCGCCGGCGGAGGGGGCGCACAAACAAAAGCGUAGCACCGCCCAGCCGGCCAGCAGACCUCGGAGAGGCGACGGGGAAGAGGGAAGUAAGCCGGAGCCACCGCAGCAGCGCCUGACUGCUGAUUCGACGCCUGUGCACACCUUUGGUUGUUUCGCUCUCGUCUACUCUCACACGUGCUCUUCGCGGAGUUGUUGGGCCUGUGCAAGCGUCACUCACAGCUCAGCCUCCUCCCUAUCCGUGUCCCGUCCACCCCCUACAGGGUGUGCGCCGUUCAUGCGGAGUGCAUGGCGACGAAGAGGGAGCGAAGUCGGCGGCAAAAGCGCCAGCGAGCAACGCCAGUCGGACAUGCUCAUUUACGGUUUGCCCCUCACUGCCUCCGUGGAGUGAUCCUCUUUUCUCGUCGUGGCACGCGCGCAUACCCUGCCGCUGCUGCUUCCUCGCCACGCAAACGCGUACAGACACGCACGCGCAGUUGAGGAUAUACAUGCACGGCUGCGGUCACGUGGGGUUUCUGUGUUUCCUUGUCCGCGUGCCCGUUCGACUACGAGGAAGCCGGCAGAUCUGCGCGCAGACGCAACCACAGCUCACCCACCUCUGCUGCACCACCGCUAAAUCCUCGUUGUCUCGGACGAACCGUCCUGCCGCCGAACCCGGGCCACGCGUCUGGCGGGCUCUUCUCGCGCUUCGUCGGCCCUGACUUCUGGUUUAGUGCGAAGUCAAAGGACCAGCGGCUCUCCUCGCUUCCUGUGUGGAAAGGAGUUUAGGCUGCCCUAGAGGUAUAUCAGAGGUGGUGCCGCGGAGUAGCAGCGGUGCCGCUCUUUUUUUUUUUGAUAAUGCUCUCAUUCUGUCGUCUUGGCUUGCUGCUGUCGCUUCGCAUGGCCUCCCACCCUCUUCUCCCUCUCAAAGGAACGCAUGCGGGCAUGGGAGCGCAGGGAACUGCUUGCGUGAGCGUAGGUCUGUGUGUGUGCCCCCGAUGGACGGUUGCACGCUCCUCGACAUGCCCCCCCUCUUUGCAGCUCCGCCCUCCUGUGCCCUCCGCUGCUGCCUUUGGUGACGAGGGUAGAGGUGAUUCGCAGGGCAGGGCAUUUUCGUUUGUAACGUGCGCCAGUGCGGGGGGAGGGCGAGUAGCCCACGAAUGAUGACCGCAAGAGAAGUGAAGCCCACGCAUCGAAGUGUCAGGCGAGAAAGACGGUUGUGAAGGCGGUGUGGAGGACGGCGGUGCUCUUCGCAUCUGCAUCGGGGGCGGCGUGUGCGACGAGGAAAACGAUACCUUCACCCACUCCAUCCUCCAAAGGGACUGUCUCUCCGCCCAUGAGCGCAGGAAACAGAAAAGACGCGCCACUGUCUCUCCCGCGCACGCUUAUUUUGCUACCGCCUCGUCCCUCCUCCCCGCGGUCAUUUCGCCUCUCCGCCGCAUCCCAUGCCACGCGCUUUCACUUUUGCGCUCGCGGUGACCCUCGGCUCAGCACUCGACCUCGAUCAGCCGGGAUGCCCGACCCACCCUCUAUGCGUGAGAGAGCGCUCCUGCCUUGCCCGGUGCGCUGUCGCUUCACCUCAUUUGGCCCUCGCGCAAGACCUCCGCACAGCCUCCCCUGCCUCCGUCGCGAUACACAAGCAGACAUAUACACCUCUUCAGCCAC
rnacentral:misc_RNA from 1 species